UAAAGUGAUUUUGUUGCAUUGUAUAAAUAUUUGUGGAUAAUAAUAGGUGUUUAAGAGUUUUUGGGUGAAGUGUUGAUAUUAGGAAAGCUCUGUAGUACAACAAAGAGGAGUCGAUUGAUGAAUUCGAAUACAUUGCCUUUCAAACGGAUACUUUUUAUAUUGCUUAAUACAGUAUAUAGGUGAGAUACUCUAGUCAACAUGACAUUAUAUAAGCUUUAAAAAAGUUACUCAUACGCCACGUCGUUUUAUGCAUUCCUGAAAUAUUUAACGAGUGGAAUGUUACUCAUCCGCCCCGUCUAUGUACUAGUGAUGAGCGAUAUUUCACUAAAGCUGAUUUUUUUAAUGUUUGAAAAAUCGUAUAUUGCAACUGCGAUCACAUUUUUAAAUAGGGGUUUCGAAGAAAUGAAUCAAGGAAAAGAAGUGAAGUGUGGCAGAUGUUUGAAGUGAUAGGAACAAGUCCAUCAUAGGCACCCUACAGUGGAACUAUCAACUCAAAAAGUGUACAUAAACAAGCAAUGCAUACUACAACUACUACUGUAAUUCAAACCGCCUCUAACUCGGAAGUUCCAAAAUACAUAUAUUGAUAAUGAGCCAGAAACAUUUAGACAAAUUGUUGCACAGAGAAGAGUUGAACCCUUUGAUGCUGCAAAGCUGCAAGAGUAUAAAAUGUUCGGUUGCCCCCGAACUUGGCCCCUCCUUACAUGUUAAUUUUAUUUAAUGUUUAAACCAAAUUUGAAAGCUUAUGUAAAUAAUUAAAA